CAGCAGUAGGGAAUCUUCCGCAAUGGACGAAAGUCUGACGGAGCAACGCCGCGUGAGUGAUGAAGGCUUUCGGGUCGUAAAACUCUGUUGUUAGGGAAGAACAAGUGCUAGUUGAAUAAGCUGGCACCUUGACGGUACCUAACCAGAAAGCCACGGCUAACUACGUGCCAGCAGCCGCGGUAAUACGUAGGUGGCAAGCGUUAUCCGGAAUUAUUGGGCGUAAAGCGCGCGCAGGUGGUUUCUUAAGUCUGAUGUGAAAGCCCACGGCUCAACCGUGGAGGGUCAUUGGAAACUGGGAGACUUGAGUGCAGAAGAGGAAAGUGGAAUUCCAUGUGUAGCGGUGAAAUGCGUAGAGAUAUGGAGGAACACCAGUGGCGAAGGCGACUUUCUGGUCUGUAACUGACACUGAGGCGCGAAAGCGUGGGGAGCAAACAGGAUUAGAUACCCUGGUAGUCCACGCCGUAAACGAUGAGUGCUAAGUGUUAGAGGGUUUCCGCCCUUUAGUGCUGAAGUUAACGCAUUAAGCACUCCGCCUGGGGAGUACGGCCGCAAGGAUGAAACUCAA
rnacentral:rRNA from 1 species